AGGGAAUCUUCCACAAUGGACGCAAGUCUGAUGGAGCAACGCCGCGUGAGUGAAGAAGGUUUUCGGAUCGUAAAGCUCUGUUGUUGGUGAAGAAGGAUAGAGGCAGUAACUGGUCUUUAUUUGACGGUAAUCAACCAGAAAGUCACGGCUAACUACGUGCCAGCAGCCGCGGUAAUACGUAGGUGGCAAGCGUUGUCCGGAUUUAUUGGGCGUAAAGCGAGCGCAGGCGGAAUGAUAAGUCUGAUGUGAAAGCCCACGGCUCAACCGUGGAACUGCAUCGGAAACUGUCAUUCUUGAGUGCAGAAGAGGAGAGUGGAACUCCAUGUGUAGCGGUGGAAUGCGUAGAUAUAUGGAAGAACACCAGUGGCGAAGGCGGCUCUCUGGUCUGCGACUGACGCUGAGGCUCGAAAGCAUGGGUAGCGAACAGGAUUAGAUACCCUGGUAGUCCAUGCCGUAAACGAUGAGCGCUAGGUGUU
rnacentral:rRNA from 1 species